UACGGGGGGGGCAAGCGUUGUUCGGAAUUACUGGGCGUAAAGGGCUCGUAGGCGGCCAACUAAGUCAGACGUGAAAUCCCUCGGCUUAACCGGGGAACUACGUCUGAUACUGGAUGGCUUGAGAUUGGGAGAGGGAUGCGGAAUUCCAGGUGUAGCGGUGAAAUGCGUAGAUAUCUGGAGGAACACCGGUGGCGAAGGCGGCAUCCUGGACCAACACUGACGCUGAGGAGCGAAAGCCAGGGGAGCAAACGGG
rnacentral:rRNA from 1 species